CUCUCUCUCUCUCUCUCUCUCUCUCUCUCUCUCUCUCUCCCGAAGAACACAUGUGAAUUCACUCUCGCUCUCCCAAAAUCAUGAUCUGACUUGAAUACAUUCUCUCUCUCUCCCUCUCUUCCGAAGAACACAUGCGAAUUCACUCUCGCUCUCCCAAAAUCAUAAAAGUAAACCAAUGGGAUUAGCAAGAGCAUUCUGAAGAUGGAAUACUCAAUGCUCAAGUAUGGAUAUCCGGCCUUCAAUGACAUGGAUGAACAAAAUCACAAGAUGUGGUUUCUCAAUUUGCGAAAGAGUUCACUUGAGAGUCUGGGUUGACGGAAACGGUGUGCAUCAUUCUACCACUACGCAACGGGCCACUAUGAUAAGGAGAUCUUUCGUGGAAGCAGAAAUGACUUGAAGACAAGACACCGAAAAUGAUUAACAUGAUGGUCUGGGAGGACUUGCAGGUGCAUUGGGCAAAACCUGAUACACAAGUUGAGUCAUAGAUCAAAUCGUAAGUGUAUGUCUAUAACUUAGGUAGCACCGGUAUGUCUUCCUCGAAGAUCAACUCGUAAGUGUUUUAAAUACUUUUAACUUUAUUUCUUUUCUUACUAAUUAAUUAAUCUUUGUAUUUUGUAGAUUGCAGAAGAUGAUGGUAAUCCCAUCGAUGAUCUCAGUCUGUUGAAGAGGCAUACAUCAACAAGAAAAUAUGUUAAAUUCAAGAUCCUGUUAGGAGGGAGGUCAUCCACCUGGUGGAAACCCAGGCGGAAAAAGUCAUUGCUUCCCAACCUUUGUCUGAAGAUCGAUCUUUUCGGAUUCCAACAGUUUGAUGUGGGAGCAAAUGAACAACCUCGUACUUAAAGCGGUUCCAAAGAAAAAAAACUACUGUCUGGUCAGAUUAACUCGUGCAUUCCGUUCUUUUUCUUCUUCAUAGGCUCCAUGAUCAAGAGAUUUUAGAGCAGUUGUAGAACAAAGAAUAUCGUAUUGCAGUUUUAGAGUCCUAGAUGGUGGAACAAUAAAGUCAGAACCAGAUGAUGCUGGACAAGA